ACGUAAUGUUAUAAACACAACCAACAAAAACAAACAACCAGGGUCAAACAAUAUUUUUUGGUUUCCGUCUUGUUUGUUUGUGCGUUUGUGUGUUUAUUUGUUUGCUGGUGAUUGCUUUCAUCCAUUUGAUGCGAAACAAAACGAAACGAAGAAAGGUUUCCAUCCAUUGAAAAACAA
rnacentral:ribozyme from 1 species